AGGUCUGUUGUCAGUGAUGGAUUCUUGACGGAACUGAAUAUAAAUGAUUUGACCCAACGUUUCAUCGCUACCACUGAGACAACAGACUG
ensembl:snoRNA